UCUAGAACUCCAGCUAUGGGUAAACUUUUAAGCAGUGUUUGGGCUGGAUUGCAGGACAGAUUUUGACUUCUCUUUUGUGGUCAAGCUUUGAAUUUGCAAACGACAGAUUUGGGUCUUCCACUCUUCAUGAAAGUUGUAGACCUAUGUCUUAACUUUCUAGA
rfam:Populus trichocarpa scaffold_139_contig_1, whole genome shotgun sequence.